AGGGACUUUUAACAGGAAAGGUCAAGCCAUGACAUCACAGAGCAAGUCCCGACAACACAGAGUGACUCACGGAGAGACAAAACAUCGCAAAAAGCUGAUCAACUGGAUACAUUUAAAACAGGAGGCUACACAGCAGCUGGACACAGGAAAGGUCAAGCCAUGACAUCGCAGAGCAAGUCCUGACAACACAGAGUGACUCACGGAGAGACAAGAAAUCGCAAAAAUCUGAUAAACUGGAUACAUUUAAAACAGGAGGCUUCACAGCAGCUGGACACAGGAAAGGUCAAGCCAUGACAUCACAGAGCAAGUCCCGACAACA